rnacentral:lncRNA from 1 species
GCACCUUUCCUUUUCAUACUAAUCAAAUACACAUUUUGUUGUAAUUCUUAUAUACAUUUUAUGGAACAUCUAAUGGCCACCUUAGGAAGUAGUAUGGAACUCGUGUAACACUUGAGGAAUGAAAGUUAAUUGAGAUGAAAUUACCAAUCUUCCUUCAUAAUACAACAUUCCCUUCCUAUAUUGGAAACCCAGUCUGCUCCAUGCAUUCUUCUGCACAUCCUCAAUGAUCUUUUGUAACACAUUGUC